GAUGAACGCUGGCGGCGUGCCUAAUACAUGCAAGUCGAGCGAACGGACGAGAAGCUUGCUUCUCUGAUGUUAGCGGCGGACGGGUGAGUAACACGUGGAUAACCUACCUAUAAGACUGGGAUAACUUCGGGAACCCGGAGCUAAUACCGGAUGAUAUUUUGAACCGCAUGGUUCAAAAUGGAAAGACGGUCUUGCUGUCACUUAUAGAUGGAUCCGCGCUGCAUUAGCUAGUUGGUAAGGUAACGGCUUACCAAGGCAACGAUGCAUAGCCGACCUGAGAGGGUGAUCGGCCACACUGGAACUGAGACACGGUCCAGACUCCUACGGGAGGCAGCAGUAGGGAAUCUUCCGCAAUGGGCGAAAGCCUGACGGAGCAACGCCGCGUGAGUGAUGAAGGUCUUCGGAUCGUAAAACUCUGUUAUUAGGGAAGAACAUAUGUGUAAGUAACUGUGCACAUCUUGACGGUACCUAAUCAGAAAGCCACGGCUAACUACGUG
rnacentral:rRNA from 1 species